UACGGAGGGUGCAAGCGUUAUCCGGAUUCACUGGGUUUAAAGGGUAGCGUAGGCGGGCAGUUAAGUCCGUGGUGAAAUCUCUGAGCUUAACUCAGCAAACGUGCCAUGGAUACUAUCUGUCUUGAAUAUUGUGGAGGUAAGCGGGAAUAUGUCAUGUAGCGGUGAAAUGCUUAGAUAUGACAUAGAACACCAAUUGCGAAGGCAGCUUGCUACACAGUUAUUGACGCUGAGGCACGAAAGCGUGGGGAUCAAACAGG
rnacentral:rRNA from 1 species